AUGACCUCGGAUCAGGUAGGGAUACCCGCUGAACUUAAGCAUAUCAAUAAGCGGAGGAAAAGAAACCAACAGGGAUUACCUCAGUAACGGCGAGUGAAGCGGUAACAGCUCAAAUUUGAAAUCUGGCUCCUCGGGGCCCGAAUUGUAAUUUGUAGAAGAUGCUUUGGGUCUGGGCCUGGCCUAAGUUCCUUGGAACAGGACGUCGUAGAGGGUGAGAAUCCCGUAUGCGGCUGGCGCCCGUGCCCGUGUAAAGCUCUUUCAACGAGUCGAGUUGUUUGGGAAUGCAGCUCUAAAUGGGUGGUAAAUUUCAUCUAAAGCUAAAUAUUGGCCAGAGACCGAUAGCGCACAAGUAGAGUGAUCGAAAGAUGAAAAGCACUUUGGAAAGAGAGUUAAACAGUACGUGAAAUUGUUGAAAGGGAAGCGCUGGCAACCAGACUUGGGCGCUGUUGAUCCGCUAGGGUUCUCUCUAGGGCACUCGGCAGUGCGCAGGCCAGCAUCGGUUUGGGGGGUUGGAGAAUGGCUGGUGGAAUGUGGCUGUCUUUGGGCAGUGUUAUAGCCACCGGUGGCAUGCAGCCUCCCCGGACCGAGGACCGCGCUUCGGCUAGGAUGCUGGCGUAAUGGUUGUCAGCGACCCGUCUUGAAACACGGACCAAGGAGUCUAACAUCUAUGCGAGUGUUUGGGUGUUAAACCCAUACGCGGAAUGAAAGUGAACGCAGGUGAGAACCCGCAAGGGUGCAUCAUCGACCGAUCCUGAUGUCUUCGGAUGGAUUUGAGUAAGAGCAUAG
rnacentral:rRNA from 1 species